AGUUUAUAAUAACAAAACCCAUAACUCUCCUCUGCAUUUCUAUCCCAAACGAUGAUAAAAAUUGUCAACCUGUCCACAUCCAUUUUGAUAGCAUCCCAAAAUUAACAAUUUCAAUGCAUUUUUUCAAUUGAGGACAGCUUUAAUCAAAGGGUUAUCUGGAACCAAAUCAGAACCAAUUUCUUGGUGAUGUGAAGCAUUUGAAACCCUAAUCUAUGAGGUACAGAUAUUUCAAAUUCUGAAAUUUCAAUUCUCCCCCCAAAAUCAACUGUUUUGUUCGAUUAUUGUUUUUCCUAUAAAAGGGACAAUGAAAGCAACAUCAUUGCUGCCAUCCUCCAACUUCUCUCUUUGGUUUCAAAUUUCAAAUUCUCCCACAAUUCUCCUUUGGUUUCAUCUUCCACACACUCUCUCCAUCUCUCUCUCUUAGAUUCAAAUAUGAGUGAGAUUCAAAGAUGAGAUGAGCAAAGAAUUGAAAAAAAAAAGGGAAUUUCAAUAGAAGAAGAAAGAGAGCAGAAGAGACAGAAGGAGAGAACGAGAGGUUGAAGAGGGAUUUUGAGGAAAUAAAGCUGGGAAUGGAAGAACUGAAGAAGAUUUUGGUUAUACUCAUAAAGAAAAAAGGAACCUAUGAGUGGCUAUGGAUUUGUUCUCAAUUGAUAGGUUGUAUAUUAGGAUUUAGAACAAGCUACUGUCAAUACAUAAUUUAUGCUCUGCGUUAGUUAAUGUGACAUCCACACCAUUCAGGCUAUAAAUACAAGAAUACAAGAAUUGUGGUACCAAGGAUAGGAUGAGUUGUACAGUGGGGGUUUUAAGCUUCACAAGAUUUAUUGCUAUAAGUUCAUUUUCAUUGAGAUAUGUUUCCUGUUUGUGUAAAUAAAUUAGUAUAGUAGUAAUUUGGAUUUGCCAAAGAUUAAACUAAUUAUUUGUAUACUUCUUUAGUUUUACUAUGUGAAUGUUGCGGGUAUAUCAGCAACCAAAGAGAGUAAAGCUGAAUUUCAUUCAUCAGGAGCAACUGGAUUUUGGAUUUGUUUUGCAUGAGUUAUGUAUUUUUCCUGCUCAUUUAUGAAUUUACAUGUCCAAUUAUAUGUGACUGUUUGGAGCCAUGACAGUUUUUUUAUCACUUUGAAACAA